AUAUCUUUAUAUACUUUUAAUUAGCGUACCUACUUAAAAUUAUUAUACCUACACUCAAAAACUUCAAAACUGUUAUUAUUAUACUUACUUUAUUCGAAUUUUACAAAAAUGAAAACAGGAAAACACGGCACUAGGUCUUUGGACCAAUGGCGUACAACGUCUCCUGCAUUGGAUUUGUAACAGGCAAACAUUUUUUUGAUAAUUUUAAUAAUAAUUAAGUAGGUUUUUUUAACCAUAUUGCACUGCUAUAUCUUUUGUAGUAUAAAUAUUAGAAUUAAGUAGACUAGGUACGUGGAAAUUCGUUUCGCACCUAACAUAAAACGAAUAAAUAUGAAAUAAAUCUGCUGGAUCUACUAAAUGUUCCUCUGUCCGUUCAUAUUUCCAUCACGUAAUGAGUGCAUCACUUUAAACUAACCAAAAUACCUAUGAUUUCCAAUAACACGUACUUCUUACGGAUUAAGAGGUCUAGUUAUAGGUACUUGGAACUAGACCCUAGCCGUUAUAUAAUACUUUAUCAACAAGACGGCAACAAGAACAAAGAUAACUUUGCUCAUACUCAACUCCGACAGUCUAACUAAAUGCAUGAAAACUUUUUUUCAUCAAGUGUAAAUGUAACUUGGUCACAAUUUCCAAUAAAAGAAACGCGCAUCGGUUCUGAAUUCAAAUUUCAAACACAGUGGAAGAGUUGCAACGUCUUUUUAGUUUUAAAAACUGAUCGUUCCAUUUUCAAAAUGUUUUCGUGCAAGGUUUUGUUUUUCUUUGUAUUGUGUGUGAUGGUUGCGACGUACGUGUCGGCUGCACCUGAUUUUGACAUGGAUAAGUUGAUUAGAAACUUGGGCAAGCCGAUCCGCAAGGCUAUCCUGGAUUCCGAUCAAGCCAUGAAGGUGCUGGACGAUGUCGACGACAUUUACCAC